GAUGAUGUGAAGACAGAGGGAGAAGAUAGCCAUCUAGAAGCCAAGGAGAGAGACCUGGAAAAACAGAUCCACCCCCCAUGGCCCUUAGAAGGAACCAAUCCAACUGAUGCCUUGAUUUUGGUCUUUUAGCCUCCAGAACUACUUAUGCAAAAUAAACAUCCGUCAAGGUCAUGAAAGACAAGGCAAGACUGAGAAAAUUUGAAAGGACUGGAGGCAACUGAAGAGAAAUCACUCCUGAAUGCAAUAUGGACCCUGGAGCAGAUAAAGGACAUUAGUGAAAAACAGCUUGUCAAUUUCUUCAUAAGCAGUCUGCUGGGAUUUGUUUGAGAACGUAUUAAAGAGAUCAACUUGGGUCAAAUGGACAAAAGAGUGUUGAGUCCUUCGAUUUAUGAACAUGAGGUAUCUUUUCACUUAUUUAAAUGCUCUUUAAUAUCUCUUAGAAAUUUUUGUAGUUUUCCGUGUAAAG
rnacentral:lncRNA from 1 species